rnacentral:rRNA from 1 species
AGGUGGUGCAUGGUUGUCGUCAGCUCGUGUCGUGAGAUGUUGGGUUAAGUCCCGCAACGAGCGCAACCCUUAAGCUUAGUUGCCAUCAUUAAGUUGGGCACUCUAAGUUGACUGCCGGUGACAAACCGGAGGAAGGUGGGGAUGACGUCAAAUCAUCAUGCCCCUUAUGAUUUGGGCUACACACGUGCUACAAUGGACAAUACAAAGGGCAGCGAAACCGCGAGGUCAAGCAAAUCCCAUAAAGUUGUUCUCAGUUCGGAUUGUAGUCUGCAACUCGACUACAUGAAGCUGGAAUCGCUAGUAAUCGUAGAUCAGCAUGCUACGGUGAAUACGUUCCCGGGUCUUGUACACACCGCCCGUCACACCACGAGAGUUUGUAACACCCGAAGCCGGUGGAGUAACCUUUUAGGAGCUAGCCGUCGAAGGUGGGACAAAUGAUUGG